rnacentral:rRNA from 1 species
GAUGAACGCUGGCGGCGUGCCUAAUACAUGCAAGUCGAGCGAACAGAUAAGGAGCUUGCUCCUUUGACGUUAGCGGCGGACGGGUGAGUAACACGUGGGUAACCUACCUAUAAGACUGGAAUAACUCCGGGAAACCGGGGCUAAUGCCGGAUAACAUUUAGAACCGCAUGGUUCUAAAGUGAAAGAUGGUUUUGCUAUCACUUAUAGAUGGACCCGCGCCGUAUUAGCUAGUUGGUAAGGUAACGGCUUACCAAGGCAACGAUACGUAGCCGACCUGAGAGGGUGAUCGGCCACACUGGAACUGAGACACGGUCCAGACUCCUACGGGAGGCAGCAGUAGGGAAUCUUCCACAAUGGGCGAAAGCCUGACGGAGCAACGCCGCGUGAGUGAUGAAGGUCUUCGGAUCGUAAAACUCUGUUAUUAGGGAAGAACAAAUGUGUAAGUAACUGUGCACAUCUUGACGGUACCGAAUCAGAAAGCCACGGCGAACUACGU